rnacentral:rRNA from 1 species
CUUGAUCGGUAUGUCAUAACGACUCUCGGCAACGGAUAUCUCGGCUCUCGAAUCGAUGAAGAACGUAGCGAAAUGCGAUACGUGGUGUGAAUUGCAGGAUCCCGUGAACCAUCGAGUUUUUGAACGCAAGUUGCGCCCGAAGCCGUCAGGCCGA